UGCGGUACAUACUUUGUAAGGUUACCAUUUAAAAUAUAAUAAAAACCACAAAUGAAGAUCUCAGUGCCCCACUGAACUAGCAUUUUUUUCUUCCGGGCAUGUUCGGCUUGAGAUAAAAUGUGAACCAGCCACGUUGUAUUGUGAGAUGGACAGUUUUCUUACUGAUAUCCAUUAUUAUAAUUAUGCAGUUGCAACUGUUUUGAAGCACUUGAGACAUUUUUCAGCAGUUUAUAGUAAUGGAGUGUAUGGUGUACUGAUUUGACAAUCACCCUGUAUUUAAUCAGCUUCUGAAUUUGAAGCCAAAUGAUUCUCAAAAUAUUUCACAGAUUCAGCAGGACUUUAUGUUUGGCUGUGUAAAGAUGUUGCACGUAAAAAUAUUAUUUCACUGGUAAAACUAUGGGGUCUGUGAUUUGAAUCUGUUUAAUUGCAGAUGAAAAAAUGCCAACAAUUCUGUCAAAGCUGAGUUUGCCAUAUUUCUGUAUUGUUAUAUAACAGUGAGGGCAUGUUUCUUCUUUGAUUUUAAUAUUUGUCAUUUCUGUUUAGGUAAUGAAUCUUGUACAUUUAGAAUGAGGUCUAUGUGAGUAUUUAUUCACAGGGAAAUUCUCUGUAUCACAGAAUUUCAUCGAACAUCUGAAGAAUAGUUCGGCGACAUGUAGCUUAUGCCCUGUAUUGGACUGGAAUUCUAUCCAUGGAUGUAUUGAUGGGAUCGGCUUCUGGCCCCCUGUGCCAGGACUCAACAUAGCCUGAAGAUGGCGCCCAAGGAAACCAGUUUGGUGACUGACAGCCCUAAGUGCAGCGUGUGCUUCAGACAAGGAAGAGGUCACAAGACUGGAAGCAUCUGCCUUGUUUCUGAACAAUGGCUGGUAGCCACCGGAUGGGGAGCCUGAAACAGGCUGAUGGUACAGAAGGUACAUAGAUGGAUAUAUUCUGAGAGUAAAAUCAUGCCAUUUUAGGAGCACUGAACAUCCUGGGGUUGGGGAGUUGCUGAGGGAGGAGGGACAGACUCCGCUUUGAAAGAGGAGUGCAGCUGGACCCCAGGGAGGGUGGCUAAUGUGUGAGGACCCACAUUCGAUAAGAAAAUGGAAAAGAAACAAGGUUUAAAGAACAGGGAGUAUAGCUCAGUCUGUCAUUGUGCGUGAACAAAGAAGAGAUCAUAAAGGUCUGUUGUUAUUACACCCUUUGUAUUUAUGUCCUAAGAUCAAUUGUAACCUAGUGAUUUGCAAGUUUAGGUUGGCUUUCUUGAACCAUUAUUCAUAACAAUAAAUAUUUAUAAUCACAAGGA